GACGAACGCUGGCGGCGUGCUUAACACAUGCAAGUCGAACGGUGAAGGGACCGGUUUUUGCUGGUUCUGGGUGAGUGGCGAACGGGUGAGUAACACGUGAGUAACCUGCCCCCUUCUUCUGGAUAACCGCAUGAAAGUGUGGCUAAUACGGGAUAUUCUGCGCCUGCGGCAUGGUGGGGGUGGGUAAGAUAUUUUGUCGGUGGGUGGUGGGCUCGCGGCCUAUCAGCUUGUUGGUGGGGUGAUGGCGUACCAAGGCGGUGACGGGUAGCAGGCCUGAGCGGGUGGCCGGCCACAGUGGGACUGCGACCCCGUCGGGACUGCUACGGGGGGCAGACGCGGGGAGUAGUGCACAAUGGGGGAAAGUCUGAUGCAGCGGCGACGCGUGAGCGAUGGCGGCCCUCGGGUUGUAACCCCCUUUCGCCAGUGAAGCAGGCCUGUCCGUUAUGAGGGUGGGUUGACGGUAGCUGGAUAAGAAGCGCCGGCUAACUACGUG
rnacentral:rRNA from 1 species